rnacentral:rRNA from 1 species
GACAGAGGGUGCAAACGUUGUUCGGAAUUACUGGGCGUAAAGCGCGUGUAGGCGGCUAUGCAAGUCGGAUGUGAAAGCCCUCGGCUCAACCGGGGAAGUGCACCCGAAACUGCAAAGCUAGAGUCUCGGAGAGGAUCGUGGAAUUCUCGGUGUAGAGGUGAAAUUCGUAGAUAUCGAGAGGAACACCGGUGGCGAAGGCGGCAUCCUGGACCGGCAUUGACGCUGAGGCGCGAAAGCCAGGGGAGCAAACGGG